GGGCCUAUAGCUCCAAUUGGGAGAGCGCCUGCUUUGCACGCAGGAGGUUGUCGGUUCGAACCCGACUGGGUCCACCA
rnacentral:tRNA from 1 species